rnacentral:lncRNA from 1 species
AGCCAAACAUCGAUAUGCUACGGAGCUGUGGAUUCACGGAUCAAAAGCUUAGAACGAUCCUGGGGUACCACCCCACGUUGGUAACCCAGAGGGCGGAAACCUUGAGGACCUUGAUCAGUCGUGUCGAGGGAUUCGGAGUAGCCCGCACCUCGCCGAGGUUCCACUUGACUCUGUGGAUGCUCUCCAAUGUUAGCGUGGAGAGAUUCAAUGCGCAAAAGAAGCUAUUCGGGGCCUUCGGGUGGUCAGAGGCCGACUUCCUCGACGCAUUCAAAAAGACUCCUGGUUUCUUGACAAGUUCCUUGAAGAAUCUGAAGAUGAAAAUGGAAUUCUUGGUGAAUGAGGCUGGAUAUGCUCCGUCUUAUAUCGCCCUCCGGCCUGUGCUUUUGACAUAUAGUUUAGAGAAAAGGGUGAUCCCAAGAUAUCAGCUCAUGGCAGCCCUGAAGUCCAGGGGGCUGUGCGCUGGUCAUCCCAAAUUGUUCACAUAUAUCUCGUGUUCAGAGAAGAAGUUCUUGGAAAGGUAUGUCAUCAUCUACAAGAAGCAGUUUCCGGAGCUCAUUGAAUUGUACAGUGCGAGAAAAUAGUAGUUCUGGAUUUGCUAGCUGUAGAUUUUGGUUCCUGCAAUCCAUGGUUUCAGGUUCCAGCCUUUUACCCUCUGCUUAACUUGAUCUGCAGUUUGAGACUUAUUAGUAUUAUGAUUUAUGUCAUUUGCUUCCUUUUUUUCUGGUGCAUUAAGAGGAAUGUAGCUGCAUACAUGUAGAAAGAAAGGAAAGCAAUAUGAAGUGGAACACAAUGACUUCUUGUAGCAUGUUGAUUCGGUCAAUUGUUUCCUGAUAAUUACCUGCAUAGGAAAAAUUAGAUACUGUAGGAAUUUGUAGGAAUUGAGACUGUUGUCCCAUUCUUUUUUUUUAACCUACUUCUGGGAACACAUUUGGCAGACGUGUGUGCUUGUGUGUGUGUGUCGUGGUGACUAUGAAACUGAAACAAAUUCUUUGUUUGAUCUAUGGCUCUCCUUGAUGUGCAUUGAAGUAGAUGCUUUGCUUAUGUUGUAGCUGAUAUCAUUAUGUUAUCAUGAAGAAUUUUGAGAUGAUGGUUUCAAAGGUCACAUUACUAUUACACUAUGGAGUUAUGGUUGCAUCGUUUUUUUCUCCUUUGAUGAAAAAUUGGUGCUUUUGAUCGAUUUUGACAUGAUACGUCGAAUCUGCAUGGAUGUUGUCUAAGAUUGAUCUAAUUUUGGUCGGUUUCUCAGCUGAAUCAGCUAGAAUCCGUUGAAAAUACUUGAGUUUAUUGAUUUUUGGGUGAAUUUUACACUACUUGAUGACCUCAAACUCAAAGGGAAGAAAAAAGAGGACGGAAGGAGAAGAAGAAAGAAAAGAGGAAAGUUGAGAUGGUGAAACGAUAAAAGAAAAAAGAGAAAACUGUGAUUGUGAUUCUAAAUCAGAGGAGGGAACAUUGCUUUUGCUUUGCUUGCUAUUCACUGCAUCCAUCCACUGCAUUUGUUGUUUGCUACUACAUCCAUCGGGUAGAAUAGAUGGAGGAUUACAGGCAAAAGGAAGAGGACAGAAGUAACCCAUAACCUAAUAUGAACUGUGCCUGCUCCUUAUAUUUAUUAAGUUUUAGCCAAUGAUUUUGAGACUUUGGAAAAUUGUGAACUAGUGAUUGCAUAGUGUCCAUAAUCAUGUAUACAUUGCAGAAGCACUUCUUAUUGUUUCGUCAGCAUCAGUAUAGAAUAGGCAGCAUGUUUGGUUGGUGCAAUCCGAUCAAUAAAAGAAAAUAUUUCACAGGUUUGUGGCUUGUGUUCGUGAGCCCUCUUCCCCUUACAUGCAAGCAUGAACGAUUGUUGUUGUCCGCUGUCCAUUGCUCUGUCAUUGAUUUCAGGUAUGCUUCCUCCACCUCUUCCUUCUGCUUCAUCCUCAUCCUCCACUAUUUACUCCUUUCUUCGUUUAACUCCUUACUCUUCCUUUUUUUUUUUGUCUUUCUCGAUGGUCUCAUCUUCUUUCUUCCUCUUUCUCCUCCCUACUCUUAAUACAUGGCUUUCUCUUUUUCUUCGUCCGCCUUCCUCUUUCUUCAUCCACUUUCAUUUGAUUCUUCCUUUUCGAGGCUUCAGAACAUACCGGUACAUAAUGUGUCAGUAUAUUGGUAUCUCAAUCUAUGGAUUGGUACGUAGCGGUCUGGGCAGAGACAGAUAAGUUACUAAUCAGUAAGAGACUAUAAACGCUGGUGCACUGCAAGCUUCAGUCGUACAAGUGCUCGACAACUUGGAAGAGUUUUCAUUUGCUGCUCAGUAUCUGCUACAAAGCUCUUCUAUCGUUAGCGGUGGAAGGUAAGUUUGUGUAUGUUAACACUACCCUGUAUACCACUGAAAAGUGCAUUUUACACAGAAUUAUGUUGUAUUGACGUUUUGGGGGAAAUUUUAGUUUAAAAUUUGCUGAAUUUGGCUCUUAUAAAAUGCAUUAACAGUUAAAAAAUGACAGCAUGAGUUGAUGAUUGCAUAGAUGUGAGCAAUAAGAUGCUAAAAUGGAUCCUAAUUCUACCUAAUAACUGGAUCAAAAUGAAAGUUUCAAUUAACCGGAUUAAUUCGUUGAUUAAAAUGAUCUAAAAAUUGUAUCCAAAUGGACGAAAUCGAUGAACCUUCUUAUCCUUCCAUGAAAAGAUAAUCCUCAAGGGGCAAAUGCAAGAUCGAAUCCGAUCAUACAACACCAUACAACACAUGAACCCUAAUCCUCAUGGAACGAGAUGGGUUAAACAAUGUGGACCUGGUUAGAAUUAAAUAUUUAUCCUAAUUUUAAUAACUAUUUAUAUAUAUUAUAUUUUGCAAUACCAACUGGAUCCGUGGCGCAAUGGUAGCGCGUCUGACUCCAGAUCAGAAGGUUGCGUGUUCGAUUCACGUCGGGUUCAACUUUACAAUAUUUUCACAUUUCGUUUUUGUUCCACUUGUGAUUGGAGCACUGAACGGCCCCACAAGUGGACCCCAUCCGAUUCUUACGCUCCUUUUCAAAUUUUCGAUUUCCUUUUUCUAUACCUUGUGAUUGGAUUACGGGACGGACCCACUAGUGGACCCCAUCGAUCAUAGCUCCCUUUCCUUGUGUGAGAAAUACAUUUAUAAAACACUAAUUUUAGCCUAAUUUCAAUCUAUCGAGAUGUCAAAAUAUCAGUAAAAAAGGAAGAAAAUUAGCUGAUAAAUGAACACAUGAAUAAAUUUGUGGCACAAAAUCUAGGUUCGAACAAUUACAUACAAUACGGUUUUAAAAAAUAACAUUAAUCUAAAUAUACACAAAUAUAUAUAUAUAUAUAUAUAUAUAUAUAUAUAUACCUCAUCCAAAUCCCCUUUCUUCCUGUCCCCAUUCUCCGUCCGCGAUACAUCGUCGUCGCUUUCCUUCGACAAAUGCGAAGAGAAGACAAAGAUUUGGAAUUCAACCGCUGGCCAAUUCGAAGCCCCAUUUGGUUUGGCUCCCCCCCUUCCGCCUUCCUCCCUUUUCUUGCUCCGAAUUAAAUCUUCUUAUGUGACGUUUGUCGUCUGAAACGACGAUUCUCUUUGGUAGCAUACAUUUGAUUCGUCUACACGAGGAGGAUUGUGGUUUGACUUAAAUGAGUACUGUGGGUUAUCAACUUGUUUUCAUGAUAAAGGGGAAUGACAAAGAAAGCCUGACAAAAUUGCCAACCAUGACAUGAAUCCCAACACAUUAUUAUGUUCCGCUGAAGUUUCAUUGGACUUAGCCUGAUUAAUUCUUUCAUUAAUUUGUUUAAUGCUUAUAAGGAGCAACAUACAGUUAGAUGACGUGUAGAAUGUAUCCAAAUUGUGAAAUUGGAGCUAUAAUUUCUCCCGUUGCACUACACAUUCGAUGACCUAGAAGUGGCAGAAAAUGAAAUAUAACUUUUACAUGGCAGUUUUAAUACUUAGAUGCAAGUGUUGGGAAUCUCAUUAGUUAUUGGAAUCGACAAGAUACUUUAUAUGAUCCACACGUCCGAUAAUAAUAAUGACCAAACACAUUUAUCAACUAGUCAUAAAUGAGAGACUUUUCAGAUAUUUAAAAUUAUUUUAAAUUGUUUUGAUGAUGAAAGAAAGCAUUAAGUAUACUUUUAAAAAAAAAUAAAGGAUUGAUGUUCCUUUUCUGGCCUAUCUAUACCAUUAAGGGAUAGACAUUAAGUUCCAUAAGACAUAGAAUAGAAGACACCAAUUGUUUCUUAAUAAAUUAAUCUAAGGAAUCCACUAUGUGAAUUAAUCAAAGGCUUAUUUUUGGACAACUAUGACUCAAGGUAAGUUUAUUUCGUUGCAUGUCCAUUAUAAAUCCAUUGUUUUGCUUACAACAAGAACAUUUCAAAUCUGUAUGUAUAUGAGUUUUCUGAUCUAUUGUUCUCAAUAUUAUUUUUUAAAACUACAUAGAAAGAAAACAAAAGUGGUGAAUAAAAAUGUAAUAUUUAGAUGGUAAUUUUAACUUUUAGAUACAAGUGCACUUCGAGCCUGUAUGCCUUUGCAUUUAAUAAUUAUUCUUUUUGAAUAUUGUUCUCCGACACUACUUAGAAAGAAAACAUAAGAAGGUGCUACAAAGGUGCAUACACAGACUUCUUGUAUCUGUGCUGCAAGAAGUACUUGUGACACUUGUUCUAUGGCACAAAAUGUGCUGUUGGUUUCUCUGGUACUUGAGUGACACACUAACCUCAGCUCUAGUAGAUCAUGUGUACAAUGUGAUCUUACAUGUUGUUGUUCCUUUUUUCAUUUUUUUUGUAAACUUGUUAUGUCCAAGGUUGUAUUACUCCUUUCUGUUCAAGAACAUGCGAAAAAUGCUGAUUAUUUCAGUGCUUUGACUUUUAUUUCAUGUCUCAACAUGCUUUGUAAUUAAUCUUUGACUAUUUGUUACAUGUGCUGUUGCUUACUGAUGGGGUCAAGGAUUUCAAAUAACGUUUGUGAUUGAAACUGAGGAUUUGAAAUAAUGUUUGUGACUGAAACUGAAUAGAUAGAUUUGUAAGGCAACAGAGAUUCUCUGAUGAACUCUAUCUCAACGAAUUGUCACGGACUUAGCUAGUUUUGCCUAAAUCGUGCGGCACCCUUGCGUGUCCGUCCAUAAAGGUCAGCCUCCCCGAAACCUCCAAUGAUCCCUUAGGACCUACAAAAGAGAAAACGGGUUAAAGAAAGUGCCUCACUCGGGAUCCACAAGCAAAAUAUCAGAAAACACAUCAUAGUCAAUGCAAAUUACAAACAUACUUUACAAGCUCCGAACGGUUGCACAACAAAGGAUUUAAAAUGGUCUACUACAGACCGAAAUCUCCUACAAGUGUCCAUAUGACACAACCUUUAUUUACAAACCUAAAACGACCACCCAAACCCAACUAAAAUGGGGUUGUUAAGCCUUCGACCGUCCUUCUAUAUGCUGUGCAAGGCAUGAACAUACCAAAAGACACAGACAUACGUAAGCAUUACAUCAAACAUCCUGUUUAGAAGUUUGUCCGUGACAUUCUUCCCCACCCAUUCCUUCGACGUCCUCGUCGAAGCCUUUGCGACAUUGCAACUCCUCAUCUUUGCUGAGUCUUCAAUCUAUUGAUCUAGCUGCAAUGCACCUCUUGGCUCCCAGCUACUCUCCGCUACUGUUAUUGAGUAGUUGAAUUUUUGAUCCGCCAUGCUGCUUCAACUCGCUAAUGACUCUGACUCUAGUGUGGGGUUGGCUGAGUUGUGUUGAUUCCUGUUGGUUCCUGCGGAUCCUUCAGAUGAAGGAAAAGACUAUCCUUACUUUGCGCCAGUCUCUCAAAUGACUCAUGCUGCUUGAACUGGGUGGAUGCUUGUUGGAGCUUUGACGAGCAUCGCCUCGCAAAAUUUUGAUGUUUUUAGGUCAUUCCUCCAUAAAAUUUGUCCAUCGACUCUUCUUUCACUUAGUUAUCCCUUCUAAGUAGGUUCGCAUCACUUCGCUUUCGAUUGACAUUUCGUUGGAAAAUAAAGCGGACAAUCUACUCUCAAUAGCACUGAUCACCAUUGAUGAGGAUUUAACAACUAUUGUCUUCCAUUAUCUUCGAAUGGUCUUUGAACCUGUGCAGAACUACUCUGUUGGAUAAAUAAGAGAAUUGGGGUACUCGGUUUCGCCCAUUCUCUUAAGAGUUGAGAAGACAAAGGUUACUUGACUUCACCCGCCUCCUCGAGGGUUGUACUCCAUGUAUCGAGCUGAUUACUGGCCUUCACCUGCUCUUUGCUCAGACUUCUGAAGCACUUGAAGUGUUUGCACUCCUUGCGUUGAGUUAGUUACUGUGAUUCACCAUCUCAAUGUUAUCUUAACUUCUAGAAUGCAGGAAGUUUUCACCCCAACUUGGAGUAAGUCUCUAGUAGUUUUGGUCGCCUCUAGGAUUGUACCGUCUUCUCCAUCAACCUUGUCGCCUACUCCACAGAGUAGCAAAGGUACAGUACCGCGUACUCCACAGAAGUCCUUCACUUUCGGCUAUCUUGAUGAGAAGCUCAUUAACACCGGUCUUACGAAGUUCCCUAGCCUCUACCCUUCAGCCUUGUCUCAGUACUUGGAGUUUGCCUCUACAUUCUCCACCUCCUCGGCCCCUUUCACGACCAAGCGUUCUCCCUCCAUGAGAACAAGGGAUCGAUGACUUCACGGAAGUCCCACUUCUGCGGUACUAUGGCACUGCCAUGCCCAUGGCCCUACUAUCCGUCACCUCAUAUCUGCAUCCCUUUUCUUCAUUAUCAGUAGAUCUGCCUCUGUGGCACUUCUUCGAGGCCACCUCCAUUCUAACCGAUGCUUUGUUUUGGGUAGCUAAGUCCCUUUGGACUCGUCGUCACUUCCUUGCCCCUUUCAACCCCCUACUUCAACACCUCUGUAUACUCCAAGCAGUUCCCCUUGGUCGACGGAAAGACAGACUGCAACUCUCAUGCAUGGCCUCUGCCAUCAUGUUGUAGGGUUUGCACCAAUUCUAUUCUCCUUAGUUUCCUUGGUAGCAACGUUCGCUUACUCGACCUUGUCCUUUGACUUGCCGGGCUCCCUUAAGUGAAUAUGAGCUCUAGAGUAGUCCAACUCUCCAACCGCUCCGAUCAUACCUCUGUAUGAUCAAGUCCCCUCAUGGGACUUCCUGGUACUUGCAUUCGAACUUUUCUUUCGAUGUUACACAACCCCCAUAUGCUGAUAACCAAGGCUUUCAUCCGAUAUAAUAUUCGAUGCAUGCACGGAAGACCCGCCUCUGCGAUACCAUGACAUUCACUCCUUGAAUUCAUAGCCUUUCUUACCACCGUGUUGUUCAUCGAAGUGGAACUCCCAGUAGCUCCCGAUCAUUCCUCCGUAUGAUAUAGUCCCUUACGGGAUUAUAUUCGUGUGUAUCGCAUUGCCACGAACUGUUCCACCACGAUCCGUUGCACCAUGUCGCCUUUUGGUGACAUCUCCAUUGCAUUCUGAUCCUUGUGGGAUGAACUCGGAUUGUGAUCCCUUCAUGUGUGACCUCUGCCAAUACAUCGUAGGGCCUCUUCAACUUUCAAUUUGUGUUCGCUCCUUUGGCAAUCAGUCUUUGUCCACUCGCUCUCGGGUCACACCUAGAUGAAGCACCACUCUAGGACAAUCUGUCACCUAGUAGCUCUCGAAGUCCACCGACUUCGCUGAAAUUGGUGCACUAUUGUCUAGAUCCUGGGUCUUUGAGCACCAUCAAGUAUGGUUGCCAACGUUGAGUCGUAGCUCAAACUCAGCCAUCCUAACCUUUGUGCGCUACGCAUUCUUUUCAACUUGCUUGUCCUCGUGGUGCCUCUUGCGCGAAGGGUUGGCCAUUCCUCUAAAUGCCACUCUCAGAUGCCCGCUCCUCUGAACGACUCCUUUUCCCUACAUCUUCAUGCCCGUUCUCCCCAAAACGGUCGCGCGUGCUGGCUGCCCUCAAUGCAGCCCCGCUAGGUCCCCCACGUUUGCAUGCCAAGUAUUUCUAUGAGUGCUUGUCUCGCUCUGAUACCAUCUGUCAUGGACUUAGUUGGUUUUGCCUAAGUCGUACGGCACCCUUACGUGUCCGUCCGCAAAGGUUAGCCUCCCUGAAACCUCUCAUGGUCUCUUAGGACCUACAAAAGAUAAAACGAGUUAGAGAAAGCGCCUCACUCGGGAUCCACAAGCAAACAUCUCAGAAAACACAUCAUAGCCAAUGCAAAUUACAAACAUACUUUACAAGCUCCGAACCGUUGCACAACAAAGGAUCCAAAAUUGUCCAUUACAAAUCGAAAUCUCUCACAAGUGUCCACAUAACAUAACCUUUAUUUACAAGCCUAAAACAACCAUCUAAACCCAACUAAAAUGAGAUUGUUAAGCCUUUGACCGUCCCUCUAUAUGCUUUGCAGGGUAUGAAUAUACCAAAAGAUACGGACAUACAUAAGCAUUACAUCAAACAUCCUAUUUAGAAGUUUGUCCGUGACAGAAUGGCUGUUAUAAUAUUUUGGUCUUUGUUAUAUACAUAUUUACAUGAAUUUUUCCUGUGAAAUUUAGUUUUGUGGUAUAAAGCACUAUUAUCAGCAUGGUUUCUUUACUGUUUAUCUAUAUCUAUAAUGUUUCAUGUUGUGUUUUUCUUGGACUGCUCAUUCAGUGCUGUUAAUUCCCUGCUUUUCAGUUUUUCACAAGGAAUCAAUAUUCUUGACCUUACAUGCGAUUCAAUUAUAGGCUUUUGGAAUUGUUCCUCCAUACUGAAACAUUAGCAUUUUUGUGACAAUGGAAAAUUUGAUUUGUUAUUCUUAUUUUUUGUAUUUCUUGGAGUUUUAAAGUAUGACAUUGGUAUGGACUUCAAAGUAAAUUGAACGGUGCAAUUCUGUAGUUCUGUACUAGAUGCCCUUAGUUCUGGAAGAUGAUGGACUGAAGUAGGUGCAGUGGCAUUGAUAUCACAUCACACACAGGUUCUUAAUGCUAAAGCCCACGCUGCUAAUUUUGUGGCCUUUACAUCUCCUAUCAUUUUUCUGCACUUUCUUCCUUUAGUUGUUGUCUAUGUCAUGUUUGCUAAUAUUCAUAAUCAAUAGAAGACUAUAAUAUAGUAUUCUAAGGUUAUGCUGUUUUUUGUCGACCUUCAGGGUUCUUUUUCAACACAUUCACUGAGUUGUAGUGCGUCAAGUAGAAGGGCAAUUGUGAGGUCCUUGAUUGUUCAGUUGCUGUAUAAAACACUUGUUUGUGCCCCUGAAGCAUCAUUUUGAAUUUAGGUAAGACUUCAAAACGAAUGUGUUCGAAAGGAAUAUGACCAUUUUUACCAUAGUUGUUAUUGGCUUUAAAAAAUAACAGAGGUAGUUUUUUAAGAUAAAGGAAUACAUGCUAUGGAUUGUUAAUUUUACUAGAGUAAUUGUUACUUGUAGGCUUGUUUAAUUUAAUGUUGCCCAAUAUCACUAUAUCCCCUCUUUGCAGCUAUCUAUGAUUGGAUCUAGAAUCAGGUUCAGAGUACUUUGCUUCCUGGAUUUGCAGUGGUACAUGUCCGGAAUGCAGAAAUUUGUUGUUUGGUUUCAUUGCUAUGGUUACCAUGUUAUCCAAAAUGAAUGGUCUAAUCCACAAAACUCACCCCCGCAGUUUGAAGAAGGUUAACAUAUUCAGCCUUACCUAUACAAAUAAAGAGGUCAUUUCCAUUGACUUUACAAACCUAAGUUGAGGACAAAAAGUCAAACUCAUCAUGGAGAUAAGGCCAACCUUUGAAGUCAUUUUUAUUAUAACAUUUUUCCUCCCACUAUUCAGUAUCUUGUUGGGACGUUUCUCACUAUUCAGUAUCUUGUUAGGACAUUUCUUAAGCUUAAAAAAUUUGGAAUUUGAACAUCGUCUCUGAUUUUUAUUCUGCUGUUAGUGUUACAUUUACUUUGUUCGCUAUAAACGGUGUAGAUUGGUAAUUGUCUUUGACUCUUUGUUUGGUUAAAUAUAUUGCAGUGUUGUUGAAAAUGUUUAGCUUAUGAUAAAACUUUUGGUGACUUUAUGGUGAAAAUUUGCAAUCAACUGAAUGAAUGCAUUCCUCUUGAUGACAUCGUGAUACAGUAUUGAAUGUGGAAGUGUACUGCCAAAGUGAUAGUGACCUUUUGUUGCCCGUGUUAUGAUGACCAGUUGAUUUUGCAAGAGGCAAAUCAUAUCUUACAAAUGGGUAUGGUAUAAGAUAACAGACAUGAUAGUAUACCUUACAUGCUGAUAUUGGCUGACAUGGAGGCCUAACAUUUUCAGAACCACGUGAAUAGAUGUUGGUGGAUUACUUUUUAUAGUUUUGAUUUUUUGGAACCUUUUUAUGUGCUUAUCUAUCAUAAAAUGGAACAAAUAAGUUUUGAUAGCAAGGAAUUUCUAUUUGUUUUUGGGCCAUUGUAUGGAAUAAAUAAGUUUUGAUAGAAGGAUUUUGUGGCACACAUCUUUUUCAAAUAAAUGGUCUUAGUUAAGGAAAGUUGAGAUUGAAUUCCAAAUACCAUUCAGUCAGCUAACACCCCAUGGUGCCUUAUUUUCUUUUCGUUCAAGAAUUUCGACUUCUUUUACUCUUUUGAUCGGCUUAGUUAGUUAGUAUUUGUUGAUAAGAUCUAUCACUAUGUUUAGAUUCCUUGGUCUUACCACUUCAAUUGAGGAUCCAACCUAACUCCAUGAGGUUGACUACGAUGGGCAAAUUUCAUCAUAAAAAACAGGUUAUUAAAUAUAUGUGUACUAGCCUUUGGCAUAUUAUUUUUCAUCGUAGUCUUUUGGAGGACAAUAAAAUGAAUUUUUUGUCCAUUUUUUAUGAGUAUGUGUUUCUUCAGUAGUUUGGUAUCAUGAAAUUAAUUUUAGGUACCCAUGAAAUAGUUUGUAUUAAAGAAUAUUUUGGUUGUUCAAGGUGUUGGGCGCGGAGCGAACCUCGAUUGAAGCUCGGGUCUAUCAUCAAUUUGAUGUUGGGAGACAAGUAGGUUUGGUAGAAGAUCCUACAAAACUAAAAAAGGGGCAUGCCCGACAAAAGCCUUUCCAAAGUAUAGUUGGAGAAACGUAACAUUUGCUUCAAAGGGUUCAAAAGGGGUGUUAAGUGACUUGCUCUUAGGGUUUCGAGGGUUUUUUUGCCUUUUAGGCGUAGUCGGAGAGGAAGGGAAUACGGUGUUGGUGACGGUUUGUGUCUUCGGACAAGAAGAGGAGACCGAUGAAGAGGUCACCGGCAUUCUCUCUCUUCUCCAAAACCCUCUGCUUCAUCUAUCGCCCUCGUCCCGCCGAUGCUCUACUUUCCUCCUCCUCCUCUUACUCCGUCGCCGCUACCGGAAGCGGAGCUCUUCAGCCCAGCAUCAUGGCCGAAUACCUCGUCACGUCAUGUGGCUUCUCCCCGGAGAAUGCGACCAAGGCCUCGAAUCUUCUCGGCGGCAUCACGUCCCGCCGGCAGCCCGACUCCGUCCUUGGCUUUCUCAAAAGCCACGGUUUCGACGACACCCAUAUGAAAGACCUGCUGUCUUGGAACCCCCGGUGUCUUCUCCUCGACGUGGAGACGACCCUAGCUGCCAAGUUCCGAUCUCUCCAGGAGUUAGGCUUCUCGCAGUCCGACAUCACCCACCUCGUCCUGGCCAAUCCCUUCGCAAUCAACUAUGACGUCCGCACCGUGGUGCACAAGAUCCGGUUUUGGCAGGGACUCAUCGGAUCCAACGACGUCCUCGUAAAUCUCUUUAAGAGCCGCCGGUGGUUUCUCGGGUUUAGCAUCGAGAAGAGGAUCCAGCCAAACAUCGAGAUGCUACGGAGCUGUGGAAUCACGGAUCAAAAGCUUAGAACGAUCCUGAGGUACCGGCCCACGAUGGUAACCCAGAGGGCGGAAACCUUGAGGGCUUUGAUCAGUCGUGUCGAGGGAUUCGGAGUACCCCGCACUUCGGGGAGGUUCCACUGGACUCUGUUGAUGCUCUCCACUCUUAGCGUGGAGAGAUGCAAUGCGCAAAAGAAGCUAUUCGAGGCCUUCGGGUGGUCAGAGGCCGACUUCCUCGAUGCAAUCAGAAAGACUCCUUUUUUCUUGACAGGUUCCCUGAAGAAUCUGAAGAUGAAAAUGGAAUUCUUGGUGAAUGAGGCUGGAUAUGCUCCGUCUUAUAUCGCCCUCCGGCCUGUGCUCUUGACACUUAGUUUAGAGAAAAGGUUGAUCCCAAGAUAUCAGCUCAUGGCAGCCCUGAAGUCCAGGGGGCUGUGCGCUGGUCAUCCCAAAUCGGUCACAUAUAUGCUGUGUCCAGAGAAGAAGUUCUUGGAAAGGUAUGUCAUCAUCUACAAGAAGCAGUUUCCGGAGCUCAUUGAAUUGUACAGUGCGAGAAAAUAGUAGUUCUGGAUUAGCUAGCUGUAGGUUUUGGCUCCUGCAAUCCAUGGUUUCUGGUUCCAGCCUUUUACUCUCUGCUUAACUUGAUCUGCAGUUUGAGACUUAUUAGUAAUAUGAUUUAUGUCAUUUGCUUCCUUUUUUUCUGGUGCAUUAAGAGGAAUGUAGCUGCAUACAUGUAGAAAGAAAGGAAAGCAAUAUGAAGUGGAACACAAUGACUUCUUGUAGCAUGUUGAUUCGGUCAAUUGUUUCCUGAUAAUUUCCUGCAUAGGAAAAAUUAUAUACUCUAGGAAUUUGUAGGAAUUGAUACUGUUGUCCCAUUCUUUUUUUUAACCUACUUCUGGGAACACAUUUGGCAGACAUGUGUGCUUGUGUGUGUGUGUGUGUGUGUCGUAGACUAUGAAACUGAAACCAAUUCUUUGUUUGAUCUAUGGCUCUCCUUGAUGUGCAUUGAAGUAGAUGCUUUGCUUAUGUUGUAGCUGAUAUCAUUAUGUUAUCAUGAAAAAUUUUGUCAUAACCCGGGCCUGAUAGGCUAACUGAUCUAUCAACUUCGUUUGGUCUAAACCACUGAUUAAAAUGUUUAAGCUGAAGUUAAUAAUAGUACACUCAUCAGACUCUUAUAAGUCAAUCUUAAUCUUGCCCACUUCCGAUUAGGGACAAAUCAGGGGUGUUACAAAUUUUGAGAUGAUGGUUUCAAAGGUCACAUUACUAUUACACUAUGGAGUUAUAUGGUUGCAUCCUUUUUUUCUCCUUUUAAUGAAAAAUUGGUGCUUUGCAAUUAGCUACUAGUGAAGUUCAUGUUUAUUUUGAUACGAUACGUCGAAUCUACGUGGAUGUUGUCUAAGAUUGAUCUAAUUUUGGUCAAUUUCUCAGCUGAAUCAGCUAUAAUCGUUUGAAAAUACUUUGAGUUUAUUGAUUUUUGGGUGAAUUUUACACUACUUGAUGACCUCAAACUCAAAGGGAAGAAAAAAGAAAGACGGAUGGAGAAGAAGAAAGAAAAGAGGAAAGUUGAGAUGGUGAAAAGAUAAAAGAAAAGAGAGAAAACUGUGAUUGUGAUUCUAAAUCAGAGGAGGGAACAUUGCUUUUGCUUUGCUUGCUAUUCACUGCAUCCAUCCACUGCAUUUGUUGUUUACUACUCCAUCCAUCGGGUAGAAUAGUGGACCCCAUCGGUCUUAGCUCCCUUUCCUUCUGUGAGAAAUACUUGUUAAUGAUUUAUACAACACUAAUUUUAGCCUAAUUUCAAUCUAUCGAGAUGUCAAAAUAUCAGUAAAAAAAGAAGAAAAUUAGCUGAUAAAUGAAUACGUGAAUAAAUUUGUGGCACAAACUCUUGUCUCGUCACAGAACCAUCGUAUAGUUGUACUAAGAUAAUAACAUUAAUCUAAAAAUCCAUACACAAAUAGAUAGAUUAUAUAUAUAUAUAUAUAUAUAUAUAUAUAUAUAUAUAUAUAUAGACACACACACGCACAAACCUCAUCCAAAUCCCCUUUCUCUGUCCCCAUUCUCCGUCCGCGAUACAUCGUCGUCGCUUUCCUUCGACAAAUGCGGAGAGAAGACAAAGAUUUGGAAUUCGACCGCUGGCCAAUUCGAAGCCCCAUUUGGUUUGGCUCCCCCCUUUCCUCCUUCCUCCCUUUUCUUGCUCCGAAUUAAAUCUUCUUAUGUGACGUUUGUCGUCUGAAACGACGAUUCUCUUUGCUAUCAUGCAUUUGAUUCGUCUACACGAGGAGGAUUGUGGUUUGAAUUAAAUGAGUACUGUGGGUUAUCUACUUGUUUUCAUGAUAAAGGGGAAUGACAAAGAAAGUCUGACAAAAAUGCCAACCAUGACAUGAAUCCCAACACAUUAUUAUGUUCCGCUGAAGUUUCAUUGGACUUAGCCAGUGUAAUUCUUUCAUUAAUUUGUUUAAUGCUUAUAAGGAGCAACAUACAGUUGGAUGACGUGUCCAAUGUAUCCAAAUUGUGAAAUUGGAGCUAUAAUUUCUCCCGUUGCACUACACAUUCGAUGACCUAGAAGUGGCAGAAAAUGAAAUAUAACUUUUACAUCGCAGUUUUAAUACUUAGAUGCAAGUGUUGGGAAUCUCAUUAGUUAUUGGAAUCGACAAGACACUUUAUAUGAUCCACAUGUCCAAUAAUAAUAAUGACCAAACACAUUUAUCAACUAGUCAUAAAUGAGAGACUUUUCAGAUAUUUAAAAUUAUUUUAAAUUGUUUUGAUGAUGAAAGAAAGCAUUAAGUAUACUUUAAAAAAAAAAUAAAGGAUUGGUGUCCCUUUUCUGGCCUAUCUAUACCAUCAAGGGAUAGACAUUAAGUUCCAUAAGACAUAUAUUAGAAGACACCAGUUGUUUCUUAAUAAAUUAAUCUAAGGAAUCCAAUAUGUGAAAUAAUCAAAGGCUUACUCUUGGACAACUAUGACUCAAGGUAAGUUUAUUUCGUUUCAUGUCCAAUAUAAAUCCAUUGUUUUGCUUACAACAAGAGCAUUUCAAAUCUGUAUGUAUAUGAGUUUUCUAAUCUACUGUUCUCAAUAUUAUUUUUUAAAACUACAUAGAAAGAAAAGAAAAGUGGUGGAUAAAAAUGUAAUAUUUACAUGGUAAUUUUAACUUUUAGAUACAAGUGCACUUCGAGCCUGUUUGCCUUUGCAUUUUAUAAUUAUUCUUUUUGAAUAUUGUUCUUCAACACUACUUAGAAAGAAAACACAAGAAGGUGCUACAAAGGUGCAUACACAGACUUCUUGAAUUUUUGCUGCAAGAAGUACUCGUGACACUUGUUUUAUGGCACAAAAAGUGCUGUUCGUUUCAAUGGUACUUGAGUGACACACUAAACUCAGCUCUAGUAGAUCAUAUGUACAAUGGGAUCUAACAUGCUGUUGUUCCUUUUUUCAUGCUUUUUGUAAACUUGUUAUGUCCAAGGUUGUAUUACUCCUUUCUGUUCAAGAACAUGCGAAAAAUGCUGAUUAUUUCAGUGUUUUGACUUUUAUUUCAUGUCUCAACAUGCUUUGUAAUUAAUCUUUAAUUAUUUGUUACAUAUGCUGUUGCUUACUGAUGGGGUCAAGGAUUUCAAAUAACGUUUGUGAUUGAAACUGAGGAUUUGAAAUAAUGUUUGUGACUGAAACUGAACAGAUAGAAUUGUAAGGCAACAGAGAUUCUCUGAUGAACUCUAUCUCAACGAAUGGCUGUUAUAAUAUUUUGGUCUUUGUUAUAUACAUAUUUACAUGAAUAUUUCCUGUGAAAUUUAGUUUUGUGGUAUAAAGCACUAUUAUCAGCAUGGUUUCUUUAUUGUUUAUCUAUAUCUAUAAUGUUUCAUGUUGUGUUUUUCUUGGACUGCUCAUUCAGUUCUGUUAAUUCCCUGCUUUUCAGUUUUGUUUCUGUCCUCUCUCUAUAUGUGUUUUCCACAAGGAACCAAUAUUCUUGACCUUACAUGCUAUUCAAUUAUAGGCUUUUGGAAUUGUUCCUCCAUACUGAAACAUUAGCAUUUUUGUGACAAUGGAAAAUUUGAUUUGUUCUUCUUAUUUUUUGUAUUUCUUGGAGUUUUAAAGUAUGACGUUGUUAUGCACGUGAAAGUAAAUUGAACGGUGCAAUUCUGCAGUUCUGUACUAUAUGCCCUUAGUUCUGGAAGAUGAAGGACUGAAGUAGGUGCAAUGGCAUUGAUAGCACAUCACACACAGGUUCUUAAUGCUAAAACCCAUGCUGCUAAUUUCGUAGCCUUUACAUCCCCUUUCAUUUUUCUGCACUUUCUUCCUUUAGUUGCUGUCUAUGUCAUGUUUGCUAAUAUUCAUAAUCAAUAGAAGACUAUAAUAUAGUAUUCUAAGGUUAUGCUGUUUUUUGUCAACCUUCAGGGUUCUUUUUCAACACAUUCACUGAGUUGUAGUGCAUCAAGUAGAAGGGCAAAUGUGAGGUCCUCGAUUGUUCAGUUGCUGUAUAAAACACGUGUUUGUGCCCCUGAAGCAUCAUUUUCAUUUUAGGUAUGACUUAAACACGAAUGUGUUCGAAAGGAAUAUGACCAUUUUUGCCAUAGUUGUUAUUGGCUUUAAAAAAUAACAGAGGUAGUUUUUUAAGAUAAAGGAAUACAUGCUAUGGAUUGUUAAUUUUACUAGAGUAAUUGUUACUUGUAGGCUUGUUUAAUUUAAUGUUGCCCAAUAUCACUAUACCUCCUCUUUGCAGCUAUCUAUGAUUGGAUUUAGAAUCAGGUUCAGAGUACUUUGCUUCCUGGAUUUGCAGUGGUACAUGUCCGGAAUGCAGAAAUUUGUUGUUUGGUUUCAUUGCUAUGGUUACCAUGUUAUCCAAAAUGAAUGGUCUAAUCCACAAAACUCACCCCCGCAGUUUGAAGAAGGUUAACAUGUUCAGCCUUACCUAUACAAUUAAAGAAAGAGGUCAUUUCCAUUGACUUUACAAACCUAAGUUGAGGACAGAAAGGCAAACUCAUCAUGGAGAUAAGGCUAACCUUUGAAGACAUUUUUAUUAUAACAUUUUUCCUCCCACUAUUCAGCAUCUUGUUGGGACAUUUCUCACUAUUCAGUAUCUUGUUAGGACAUUUCUUAAGCUUAAAAAAUCUGGAAUUUGAACAUCGUCUCUGAUUUUUAUUUUGCUGUUAGUCUUACAUUUACUUUGUUUGGUAUAAACGGUGUAGAUUGGUAAUUGUCUUUGACUCUUUGUUUGGUUAAAUAUAUUGCAGUGUUGUUGAAAAUGUUUAGCUUAUGAUAAAACUUUUGGUGACUUUAUGGUGAAAAUUUGCAAUCGACUGAAUGAAUGCAUUCCUCUUGAUGACAUCGUGAUAUAGUAUUGAAUGUGGAAGAGUACUGCCAAAGUGAUAGUGACCUUUUGUUGCCUCUGUAUUAUGAUGACCAGUUGAUUUUACAAACUAGACCAUUAUAGUUUGGCUGAUUGAUUUUGCAAGAGGCAAAUCAUAUCUUACAAAUGGGUAUGGUAUAAGAUAACAGACAUGAUAGUAUACCUUACAUGCUGAUAUCGGCUGACAUGGAGGCCUAACAUUUUCAGAACCACAUGAAUAGAUGUUGGUGGAUUGCUUUUUAUAGUUUUGAUUUUUUGGAACCUUUUUAUGUUCUUGUCUCUCAUAAAAUUGAAUAAAUAAGUUUUGAUAGAAGGAUUUUGUGGCACACAUCUUUUUCAAAUAAUUGGUCUUAGUUAAGGAAAGUUGAGAUUGAAUUCCAAAUACCAUUCAGUCAGCUAACACUGCAUGGUGCCUUUUUUUCUUUUCGUUCAAGAAUUUUGACUUCUUUUACUCUUUUGAUCGGCUUAGUCAGUUAGUAUUUGUUGAUAAGAUCUAUUGCUAUGUUUAGAUUCCUUGGUCUUACCACUUCGAUUGAAGAUCCAACCUAACUCCAUGAGGUUGACUACGUUGGGCAAAUUUCAUCAUAAAAAAUAGGUUAUUAAAUAUAUGUGUACUAGUCUUUGGCGUAUUAUUUUUCAUCGUUGUCUUUUGGAGGACAAUAAAAUGAAUUUUUUAUCCAUUUUUUAUGGGUAUGUGUUUCUUUAGUAGUUUGGUAUCAUGAAAUUAAUUUUAGGUACCCAUGAAACAGUUUGUAUUAAAGCAUAUUUUGGUUGUUCAAGGUGUUGGGCGCGGAGCCAACCUCGAUUGAGUAGGUUAGGUAGAAGAUCCUACAAAACUAAAUCAGAGGCAUGCCCGACAAAAGUCUUUCCAAAGUAGAGCUGGAGAAAUGUAAUAGUUGCUUUAAAGGGUUCAAAGGGCUGUUAGGUGACUUAGCAUACCUAGGACAUUUUAUAUAAAGCUUUGGUAAUCGUCAAUAUUAAGUGGGAAGUUAAUUUGUGGAAUUAUUAAGCGUUACUCGAUCGUGGAGAGUUAACCAAACCAUCAGGACAUUUCCAUUAGCAUAGUCGUGCGAACUUGGUAUAUUAUAGUUGUCCAAUGUGUUGGGCCAUGGAGCUAACCUUGAUUCAAGCUUGGGUCUAUUGUCAGUUUAAUCUCGCUAGAUGAUUGGGUUCAAUAGGGGCAUAUGCAAAAUUUAGUCGGGGACAUACCAAACAAAAGUCUUUGAUGCUUAUGUUAGUAUAUCUAGAGAAAUGUAAUGUAGGAUUCGGAGGUUUCAAAGAGCACUACCUAGGGCUUUUUAAUAAGGGUUUUGAUUACCAUCAAAAUUAAGUGGUUUCGUUGGAUUGUUGGGUGUUACUCGGAUGUGAGGAGUCACUCAAACCGUUAAGAGAUAUAUGGCAGCUUCAUGGCUGGAUUUGACCAUAUUAGAGAUACAGGGAGUUUCGUGGCUAGAUUCGAUCGCAUUCGGGAUAGAGAAUAAUUCAUUAUCAUAUUCCAUUACAUCGUUGAUAAAGGAUACUUUAUGGUCAUAUUCGGCCACGUUGGAGAAAUGAUGCUUCAUGUCGAAGUCAAUUGCAUCGAGGGCUCGAGAUGCAUCUUGGCAACAUCAUCAAGCUUUUUUUAUCGUUUUUCUACCACAAGCCACUCCAACUACAAGCUCGACUUACCUUUGUUCUACAAUUGAAAUACGAUUUGCUUUAGUAACAACGUCAUAUUAAUUUUUGAUGAUUUGACAUUUUUGCCCUGAUACUUGAUCUUUUAUGUUUGAUUGGGGCCUUCCAUAUCGUGCACCACUCAAAUUAACGAAAAAGCUAAGGAUAAGGUAGUGAAGGCCUAACAAUGCCUGACCCCUAUAAAAGGGAGCCUUAGUUGUAUCUGAGCUUCCUACUUUACAAAGCCACCAUCUUUGAUACUAAACAAACAGGUGGCUGCAGUCUGUGGGCAAAGGCAUCCAUGGAAGCCACCUUCUUCAUUUUAGUAGGUAAAAGCAGUUAACCUUACCUGUCUUCCCCACCCGAUGAACAGCUUCCUUGAAGCUUCCUACAGUUUCUUGCACUCAGCUGAUUGGACUCAGAAAAUAAAUAUUUCAUCUUAUUUAAUGUCAGUUUUCAGAAUUAUAUACCCUCAGCAACCUUUUUUUUUUUCUAUUCAAGGACAUAAAACUGCUUUGUUGAUAAAUUUUGCUGUUAAUCUCGAGUUUUGGUAAAUUGAGAGCUAUGUCAUGAUGUCUUUAGAACUAAAUUUGGCACAACAGGAUAAAUUUCUAGCAUGCUUCUUAACCCUAAUGUUAGAAACCUAGUGGAUUCAGGUACAUGUUGCAUGAAACUCCACACACUCAUCAGGCUUGAUUGAAUUUUUAUGAGACUCACAUCGUGACAUCCAAGUUGAUGCUAAUUUAAUGAUUUAGUUUGAGGAGUCAUUACAUCCAAAUGCGAGCUUACUCAACGCACUUGAUCAGUGUCAUAGGAAACAUAUAUAUUAUCAUGAUAGAGUAUGAAAGCUUAGAUUAGGUAUAUAAAACACUAAGUGAUAGACAGAGUAGUAUCAGCAUGAAUAUGAAUGUUAGCUAGAUAUAUAAUUCAUGGUGUAGGAUUCAUGACAAAGGAGGUGAGUUGUACAUUAAAAGUUGUCUUAGUUGCCCAGUGAAGAAAAAAAAGGCUUUUUCAUUAAGUUCAUGAACCUGAAACACUGGUCCAAAGUGUUUAUUCAUUUAUUUUAUGAGCCUUGAAGUAUUUUUUUGUUCAUCAUCUCGACCCAGUCUGAUAACUUAUUAAUUUGAUGAGUAUGAAACACUAAUUCAAAGCACUUGCAUCCAUAUUAAUGAAAAUAGACUUAUUUAACAAUCUGCCCCACUUAUGUUUAACAUAUUGAACUUUACACUCAGCCAUCUUUUCUGGUUUGGGUACCUCAUCAUGCCCAUUAAUAAAUCCCCCUUGAUAUGAUUUGUCACAACUUGAUCUGAGGAGAUAUCUUAAUAACAUUAUGAAUCUGAACUAAGUGCUUAGGCCAAAGUUAAUAACGAUAAACUUAUGUAGCUCUAUAUACCAAUUUGAUUGAGCUGUUGUAUGUGAUGUAGAUCUAAACAUGCGGCAUCACAUUCUUUUAUCCUGCUAUAAAUGCUCCUCAUCUUCAUGGCUUCACCUAAACAUCACUUGAAGUCCUCACAAGAACAGCCAUGUCUUCUCUUGGAGCCAGCUAUGCUUACAUCCAUGAACUGAGGAAACGCUGCAAGGAAAUGGAGAGGAAGAAGACAGAUGGUGGUGUGGCCACAGAGGAGAAGAGCUCCAAGGGAAGAGUUCAUCCUAGUGACACCCCUUCACCAGUGUGUCGUGAAGAACGAGGUGAAGGUAAUUGUUGGAGAAGCUCGGUCACCAAAUAAAUCCCCAAAAAAGAAAGAUGAUGAAUUAUUGGGUGUUGAUGGGGGGCUUGUUUUACAUUUAGACAAUGCUAUGUCCACAUAUAUAUAUUUUGCCUUCCAAUGUUCCAAGUCUCUUUAGUAGGGAAAUGUGGGAGGAAUAAUCAUCCAAUUGUUUUCUUUUUCUCUACCUAGAUACGACAGAAAUAGAUGUUGCUUUCAUUAUUAACAUAGUCAGGUUCAUAGCCAUAUGGAAGUUUUUUUAAUGAAUAUUUUUCUUCUAUCAUAUCAAAUUGCACACAAGAUACAAGCUCAACAAUGGAUGGUAAUAUUAUGGAAUAAUCACAUUUAUGGCCAACUAAGGAUCAGAAUAUUUUAAGGAUGGUAAUAUGUAUCCUAGAGAUUAUCCAAACUCAACAAUGAAGACAACAACAAUUGAAGUUUGUAUGCGGGUUUCAAUUUUACUUAUAACUUAAAUUCAUCUUUGAUAAGAAUGAUCUCUCAGCUGAUUGUUAGGGUUGACAAGUAUUUUAAAAAUAAAUUUAUUUGGAGGAUAAAAAAUUUAAAUUUUAUGAAAAGAAAUUUUUGUGAAUCAGAGUUUAGUUGUCUUGUAAAUAUCUAAUAUAUCUCAACGUCUUAACAAGACAUCAUGAAAAAAAAAAAAAAAAAAAAAAAACCCUUGGUGGUGAUAAUUUUAUACUGAUAAUUUUGAGCUUUUAUCUAUCAGAUUAUUUUAAUGUCCCUCAGACAACUUUUUGCUCGUGUCAAUCGAUCCUGUUGCCCAAGUGCAAGAAUUCUGGCAUCUUGAUACUGAAUUUGCUCCUUUUUUUUUCUUUUGUUUUCUUCUAUUUCCGUUCUUUGGGUUGUAGACUUUGUGCUCUAAUUUUGAGUUGGAUUUCCUAUAGUCUGAAAAGCUAUUGCUCUUCUUCGUUCAUAAUCAGCCAUAUUUUUGCUCCUUUGGCUUUCAGAAUCUGGUUGGAGCAAGCAAGUUCUUUUAUGGAUGUCAUCUUUGGCAUGGAUUGACGACCUCCAAGCAGAAGCAUUCCUCUGAUCUGAUCACCAGGCCUACUCAAUCGUGGUCCUCGAUGAACAUGAGAUAAAAGUACCUUGGCCUGCUUACAAAGUACAAGCUUCCAAGUGCAAGCUUCCUCUUGUUAACUCAAACAUAGACUGGAGUAGCUUUAAGAGGAUACCAGCUACUCCUAGAGUCCUUAACUUUCUGCUUAGAACUUCAUAGAACACAUUUUCUCAUUUCGGACAGACUUGCUGCUUUAAAUAUUUCCUUACUUCAUCAAUUUUGGUGCUGCAGAAUAUGAGACUGAAUCCAUCCAUAAAAGAUCGUAUCUUCUUUUCUUGUCAAUUUGCUCGAGAGUUUUGGAACUACUUUCAGAUCCAUUUGAAUGAAAUUUUAAUUUCAUUGCAGCUUUUAAAUGAUUAAAAUAUUUUUAUUUAGACAGAUUACAAAUCAUAUCGGUUUUUCUUGUUAUCAGUUAAACAAAGUUGAAGGUUUAUUAUGAUAAAUUUAUAUAUAUAUCUUAUUAUGAUGAUGGAUUGUGGUCUGAAAUCCAUCUAAUUAAUUUGUAUGCAUAAAUAUUUUAUCCAAUGAGUUUAUACAUCUAAAUUAACAAAAAAAUUGGUCUAAUAAUUUUAUCUAAAAUAUUCUAUCCAAUUUAUUGAGAAUAUUAACUUCCAUCUGCGAAUUCUCUCUCCACCGCUUGCUCUUAGGGUUUCGAGGUUUUUUGCUUUUUAGGCGCAGUCGGAGAGGAAGGGAAUACGGUGUUGGUGACGGUUUGUGUCUUCGGACAAGAAGAGGAGACCGAUGAAGAGGUCACCGGCAUUCUCUCUCUUCUCCAAAACCCUCUGCUUCAUCUAUCGCCCUCGUCCCGCCGAUGCUCUACUUUCCUCCUCCUCCUCUUACUCCGUCGCCGCUACCGGAAGCGGAGCUCUUCAGCCCAGCUUCAUGGCCGAAUACCUCGUCACGACAUGUGGCUUCUCCCCGGAGAAGGCGACCAAGGCCUCGAAUCUCCUCGGCGGCAUCGCGUCCCGCCGGCAGCCCGACUCCGUCCUUGGCUUUCUCAAAAGCCACGGUUUCGACGACACCCAUGUGAAAGAGCUGCUGUCUGGGAACCCCCGGUGGCUUCUCCUCGACGUGGAGACGAACCUGGCCGCCAAGUUCCGAACUCUCCAGGAGUUAGGCUUCUCACAGUCCGACAUCACCCACCUCGUCGUGGCCAAUCCCUCCGCAAUCAACUGUCGCGUCCCCACCAUGGUGCACAAGAUCCGGUUUUGGCAGGGACUCAUCGGAUCCAACGACCUACUCAUAAAGGUCUUUAAGCGCCGCCAGUGGAUUCUCGGGUAUAGCAUUGAGAAGAGGAUCCAGCCAAACAUCGAGAUGCUACGGAGCUGUGGAUUCACGGAUCAAAAGCUUAGAACGAUCCUGAGGUACCGGCCCACGUUGGUAACCCAGAGGGCGGAAACCUUGAGGGCUUUGAUCAGUCGUGCCGACGGAUUCGGAGUACCCCGCACCUCGGGGAGGUUCCACUGGACUCUGUUGAUGCUCUCCACUCUUAGCGUGGAGAGAUGCAAUGCGCAAAAGAAGCUAUUCGGGGCCUUCGGGUGGUCAGAGGCCGACUUCCUCGACGCAUUAAAAAAGACUCCUGGUUUCUUGACAUGUU